GAUCCUGGCUCAAGAUGAACGCUGGCGGCGUACUUAACACAUGCAAGUCGAACGAAGCACUUAAGAAUGAUUCUUCGGAUGAAUUUUUUUGUGACUUAGUGGCGGACGGGUGAGUAACGCGUGGGUAACCUGCCUCACACAGGGGGAUAACAGUUGGAAACGACCGCUAAUACCGCAUAACCCCGCUAGGGCCGCAUGGCCCGGACGGAAAAGNUUUAUCGGUGUGAGAUGGACCCGCGUUGGAUUAGCUAGUUGGCAGGG
rnacentral:rRNA from 1 species